CUGACCAGUAAUAAACUAGGAGAAUAAAAGGCUUCAAAUCUCUGUCUCAGCUUGGGGCCUGAAGGACUCAGCAUUGGGGCAUCUCCACCAUGGCCUGGGCUCAUCUCUUCUUAACCAUCACCACUUUCUUCACAGGGUCUCUCUCCCAGCCUGUGCUGACUCAGCUGCCCUCUGCAUCUGCCUCCCUGGGACAGACACACAAACUCACCUGUACCCUGAGCAGUGGCUACAGUAACUACAAUGUGGACUGGUACCAGCAGAGCCAGGGAAAGAGCCCUCGGUUUGUGAUGCGAGUGGGUACUAGUGGUAUUGUGGGAUCCAAGGGGAGUGGAAUCCCUGAUCGAUUCUCAGGAUCAGGUUCUGGCUCUGAACGGUACCUGACCAUCCAGAACAUCCAAGAAGAAGAUGAGAAUGUCUACUACUGUGGGGCAGACCACGGCAGUGGGAGUAGCUUGGUAUAACCCACAGUGACACAGUCAGG